AUGCCCUAUUCUGUCAGAAGCCCUUACCCAGUUGCAGCGACUUUCAGACCUAGUUAUAGGGGAUAAACUGGCUUCAGUCUUCUACCUUCUUCCGGCUUUGCUCGUGCCUAUUCUUAUUAUCUGACCAUCCUUUUUGUCCUAAGAUGUGGUCAGUCCGAACCGGGAUCGACAUCAUUCUCUUAUUUGCAGUAUUAAUCUGAAAAUUUCUCAAGGGAUCCUUUUUUUAAUGCAUGUAAAGAAAGAGAGAGCUGAAGAGCUGCAAAAGGUCCUGCUUUCCCACAGGCUUGGUGGAGAGUGCAGAACAGUGUGAGAAUCAAUCAUUGCACAACGGAACUGGCUGAAUCCAGUCAGUGCUUAACCACAUCUGCUCGCUGAAGUCUUUCUCGGGGCUCCAACCUUGUUCUUCCAGAGCAUAGAAUUCUCAUCCUAUUAGGGUGAAACCGUCGAAACACUAAAAGGCAAGAGAAGCGGUGUGUAAGCCAGAUGCGCCGAGCCUCAGGAUGACUUCUGGGCUCUUUAUGCGAGUCCUACCUCUGUGUCUAAGAUGGUGACCGGUAGACGGAAAACAGGUAAAUGGACAUUAGAGAAUUCCGUUGUAAGUGGAGCAUCCACUGGGAUAUGUAUUUCAUAAAGGUAAGUACUUUUGGAGACGGUAGGUCCUUAAAACAUUUUUUUUGUGUGUGUGGAUCAAAUUAAAGAACUAAAAUUUCAUCGACGUUCACUUAUAUACCCAGGAAGGAAGCUAAACACUUAAUAAGAACGUAAUUGGGAUUAAACUGCUUCAUUCAAAGCAGGGACCAUGCUGUCCCAUUUUUCAGGUGAAGAACUGAGGCCUGAGAAACACAAAGACUUAUCUGUCAGGGAGUGCUGUGAUUCCGCAUGAACACGACGCACGCAGUCCUUGGCUCAGAACCAUGCCGGUGUUGGCGUUCGUGGAAGGCAGGGUUACAGCAUCCGCCUGGUGCACUCUUGCUCCAUCUACUCUAACCCUGUGACUUGAAAGCCUGUAACCUGUCAAACAGUGUGUGACCAUGACAAACAGUGUGUGACCGACCG